GUGCUUCACUUCAGCAGCAACAUAUACUAAAAUCGGAAUGAUACAGAAAAGAUUAGCAUGGUCCCCUUGCACAAGGAGAACAUGCAGCAUUCCAUAUUUUUUCAACUUUCU
rnacentral:snRNA from 1 species